AUGCAACAUUUCAAUGGUGUACAUUUUCAUUUUCUCUCUUUCUUCUUCUCUGUUUGGGGAGAUAACUAUUUCUGGAUCUCUUUGUCUCUUUGUAGGAGGAAAGGAACCAAGCCAGGACGAUUCCCCUUCAAAUCUGAUUGAAGAUGUCAAGACAAUACUAUGGAAACUGGAAGCUGCAGAUAAGCUCCGGACUCAAGCUUUUGUCAAAGCAGAUCAGUCUCCUCAGAAACCAAACAAGAGAGCUUGUUUCUGGAAGUACUGUGUCACCAACUGAACUUGGGAAAUAGCUGUGCCUUGUCUGCUCAAACUGCAAUUUCCAGCCCUCCCCCCAAAGAGAACAUCUUCAGAUCAAGCGUUCCAGAACGUGGGCUUUCACUUUUGCAGCCACUCAUCACUUCCCCAUCUAAUCUAGAUGAGCAAUGUCAUGUGGGUCAAGAUUAAAUAUUUUGCAUUGCACUAUAAAUAAAACACUUCUGAUCUCUGUGAGUUUCAGUUUGCUUCCUGUUUCUCCAGCAAUGUUUUAGUUUUACCGGGUAGGGUUGCUAUCCCUAUGCCCAACCCCCUCCCCGCAAAUAAUUUAUCCAGACUUGGGAUCGGCUGGGUUAUCUCAAAACAGAGUUGGCCCAGGCGAAGCUCUUAUGUUAAUGAAGUUUAAAUUAAGUUAUAGAAUAGAAUAGAAUUCUUUAUUGGCCAAGUGUAAUUGGACACACA